AGGUCAACACUCCUGAGGUCUCUGGUCUUGUGUACAGACACUGAAAAUCCUUCCAUAUUACCUGCAGUCUGACAGGGGCCAUCGGGUUCAAACAACUCACUGAUGUUAAAGCGGACAUCAGGGCUUUCCAAAAAAGAGAUGCUGUCAAAUAAGAGAAGAGAUGUCGGAGUCUUUCGGAGAAAUGCAUAAUGUGCUUGCUCGUCCGAAGAAGAUUUUGUCCGAAAACAGAAAGUGUUGUUUUUAUAGUUUAAAGUUUCAAAAUGUAAAGCACUGGAACGGUCAAGAAACAGCAUGGAAAUACACAGAACCGCCUGGAAAAGCAUCUCAGAAUCUCAUCUCAGCCAAUUACCACCUAAAUAAAGAUCAGCUGGGGCUUGAAAGGCUAGAAUCUAAAACUACAGGAACUCAAUCCUGACCUGUUAUUACAAAAUAAAAUCAAUGGAUUCACCGGAAAUGGGAUUCAGGCUUCACGAUCACGUCGCAUUAUAGAGAGUCACAUCUUCUGCUGCUACUGACCUCAUCUGACAACAUCGACUGACCUAAAAACAUCUGAUGCUUUUUCUUGAUGAGCAAAACGACCCAAGAGGGUGUAUAUCGGGUCUAUAGUCAACUCAGGUUGUGAAAUGAUAGUUACUACUUGCUGGGUUAACUAAGAUGAUCAAACGACUGUACACAUCCAGAGCUUCACUGAUUUGUGCGUCAGGAAGCAUUUAUUGACUUGAAUGCCGUCAGAUCUUUGAGCACAAACGGAGUGAUGCUUUAAUAUUUGUCUUCAGGGAGAAGCAACGCCAACCCCUCCACUCGCUCCUAUCUGACCGAGCUGAGCUCUGAUUGAAUAAGAAAGUGCAGAUAAUUCAUAUCUAGAAAUUUUUGGGGACCCCCUAAAAACUCCUGAAGGGGAGGCCCCCUAAGGGUUCCCGGACCCCACACUGAAAAAAGGAAGCAUGAAGUUAAAACAACUUAGUUUUUGCAGUUUGAAAACACCUGGUCUAGAAGAAACAUCUAAGAUUUCAUGUGAUUUUUUCUCCCAUGAGAAUGCCAUUGCCAAGAUCCCUGGACUUCCAGAAAAAUCCUCAGCCUAAUUUUGGAGAGCCUGGCAUGCAAACAGGUUGCUAUCACCCAAUAUACGGACUUAACCAACACCAUCUCAUGGCUAUUCAUGCAUUUUGGGUGAGGUGGCUAAUUCGUACCACCACAUAUAUACAUUUCUGUAUUACUUGCCCUUUAACAAUGUGGUUGGAAUUUUUUUAUUUUUAUUUUUUAUACCAAUUGUACGGUUUAACUUGGUGCGGUUUCAUAAUGAGCCAACUUGUAAAAUACUCUUCUCAUGAGAUCAGGCUGGACUUAACACAUCUCCAUACUGCUCAUCCAGCUGGACAACAUACGAGUCCAAUAAAACAAAAUCUAUGAUGUAAACUCCAUUGCUUUUGGGGCACCAUAUUUAAAGGGGCCAUGUCACAAUAUUUUUUUAAGAUGUAAAAUAAAUCUUUGGUGUCCCCAGAAUACUCAUGCGAAGUUUUAGCUCAAAAUACCAUAGAGAUAAUAUAUUAUAACAUGUUAAAAUUGACACUUUGUAGGUGUGUGCAAAAAUGUGUUGUUUUGGGUGUGUCCUUUAAUAUGCAAAAUGAGCUGAUAAUGCAAACACUGAUCACGAUGAUGGUGGUUUGAUGCAAUUCAAACUCAAUUGCGCAGUCAAUAAUUUUUUCUCUCUCUUUCUCUCUGCCCUAAAUGGCAGUGCUGUGGUUGGAUAGUUCAGAUUAAGGGGCGGUAUUAUAUUAAUAGGAGCUCCUUAUGACAUCACAAGGAGAGACAAAUUUCAAUGACCUAUUUUUUCACGUGCUUGUAGAGAAUGGUUUACCAAAACUAAGUUAUUGUGUUGAUCUUUUUCACAUUUUCUGGGUUGAUAGAAGCACUGGGGACCCAAUCAUAGCACUUAAACAUGGAAAAAAAUCUGAUUUUCAUGCCAUGGCCCCUUUAAGAAAUAUCACAUGGUGACCAAUGAUGCUCAGGAGUACGAAGCUAAAUCCUAAACUUUUUUGCAAAAUAGCAAAUCUAAACUGAGGUCUGAGCAAGCAGCAACAUCUUAAAGAGAUAUGUUUUUUUUCCCAGCGACAACCAAUCGCUUGCUUUUAUUUAAAUUCUUAAAAACUUUGUAAUUUUUAUUGUGUUGUAUUUUUAUUUUUUUUAUUGCAUUUAUAAUGUGGCAUUGUACUUGUAAAAAUGCAUUAUUAUUAUUAUUAUUAAUUCACAUAUUUUUAUAAUAUUUUUGUUUCUCCCAAGGAUUGGGCUGACAUAUCCGUUAUAUACAUUACAUUACAUAUACAUUGCAUUAUUACUCCGCUCACUAGUACAGUAGCUACUGUACAUUGCUACUUUGUUGUCCUAUGAUUUUUAUUGUUUUUAUUCAUGUAAAGCUGCUUUGGAACAAUUAAUUGUGAAAAAAGUGGUAUAAGAAUAAAAUUUUAAACCAUCUAUUUAUCAUAAACCUCUUGUUCUGGAAGAGACAGCAAUGUUAGGGUACAGAAGAUCCAUAAAGAAGAUAUUCAGACAAAGAUAAAGUUGUGAGCUUUGUGUUUAUUGUUAUUAAGGAGUCGGUUAAUUGCAUUGAUAGCCAAACAACACAAUCAACCCUUUUAGCUUCUGUAAGGCCCACUAUCUGGCACAAGAGAUGCUGGGUUAAACAUACAGUAUAUCUUUAUGGCAAUUAUAUGUUUAGUAAGUACAUUCUUCUCUACAAGAUAUUCAUGUACAAUAUACAAGUUUUAAAAAUAUAUAGUUUGUUUGCAUCGAGUUCCACAACCAUUUCGUUCUCUUCACGAUGACAAUUAUUCACAUUAGUUGUUUUGGACCGUAUGCUUUCUGCGAAGAGGACUCAAGCCGUGUAAGAUUCAUUUUAAAAGAAAGAAA